CCUACGGGGGGCUGCAGUCGAGAAUCUUCGGCAAUGAGCGCAAGCUUGACCGAGCGACGCCGCGUGCGGGAUGAAGGCCUUCGGGUUGUAAACCGCGAAAGUAGGGAGGAAAUUGCUAGGGGUUCUCCCCUAGUAUUGACCUAUCUUCAGUAAGGACGGGCUAAGUUCGUGCCAGCAGCCGCGGUAAUACGAACCGUCCAAACGUUAUUCGGAUUUAUUGGGCUUAAAGGGUAUGUAGGCGGCCCUUCAAGUCGGGUGUGAAAGCCCUCGGCUCAACCGAGGAACUGCGCCCGAUACUGUGGGGCUUGAGGGAGACAGAGGUAAGCGGAACUGAUGGUGGAGCGGUGAAAUGCGUUGAUAUCAUCAGGAACACCAGUGGCGAAAGCGGCUUACUGGGUCUCUUCUGACGCUGAGAUACGAAAGCUAGGGGAGCGAACGGGAUUAGAUACCCUUGUAGUC
rnacentral:rRNA from 1 species